rnacentral:rRNA from 1 species
UACGGGGGGAGCAAGCGUUGUUCGGAUUUACUGGGCGUAAAGGGCGCGUAGGCGGUCGUGACAAGUCACUUGUGAAAUCUCCGGGCUUAACUCGGAACGGUCAAGUGAUACUGUCGGACUAGAGUACAGAAGGGGCAACUGGAAUUCUCGGUGUAGCGGUGAAAUGCGUAGAUAUCGAGAGGAAUACCGAUGGCGAAGGCAGGUCUCUGGGCUGACACUGACGCUCAUGCACGAAAGCGUGGGGAGCAAACAGG